rnacentral:rRNA from 1 species
UUACACAUGCAAGUCGAACGGCGAGCGGGCCUUCGGGUGCCGGCGAGUGGCGAACGGGUGAGUAAUGCAUCGGAACGUGCCAUUGAGUGGGGGAUAACGUAGCGAAAGUUACGCUAAUACCGCAUAUUCUGUGAGCAGGAAAGCAGGGGACCGCAAGGCCUUGCGCUCUUUGAGCGGCCGAUGUCAGAUUAGCUAGUUGGUGAGGUAAAGGCUUACCAAGGCGACGAUCUGUAGCGGGGUCUGAGAGGAUGAUCCGCCACACUGGAACUGAGACACGGUCCAGACUCCUACGGGAGGCAGCAGUGGGGAAUUUUGGACAAUGGGCGCAAGCCUGAUCCAGCCAUGCCGCGUGAGUGAAGAAGGCCUUCGGGUUGUAAAGCUCUUUCGGCCGGGAAGAAAUCGCAUGGGUUAAUACCCUGUGUGGAUGACGGUACCGGAAUAAGAAGCACCGGCUAACUACGUG